UGGCGGACGGGUGAGUAACGCGUGGGCAACCUGCCCCAUACAGGGGGAUAACAGUUAGAAAUGACUGCUAACACCGCAUAAGCGCACAGGGCCGCAUGGUCCGGUGUGAAAAACUCCGGUGGUAUGGGAUGGGCCCGCGUCUGAUUAGCCAGUUGGCGGGGUAACGGCCCACCAAAGCGACGAUCAGUAGCCGACCUGAGAGGGUGACCGGCCACAUUGGGACCGAGACACGGCCCAAACUCCUACGGGAGGCAGCAG
rnacentral:rRNA from 1 species